GAAACUAGAGGCAAUACAUCAUCAGAUUCCUCAUCUUGUCAACAUACCAAAUGGCCAGCCCAAGGUUUUGGUUUUGUUUUCUUUUAAUUUUGCUUGCAUUGCUUAUCAAAUCGGAAUGUACUCGGCCACUCCAGCCAUAUCAGCGAGAGAGGACCCAUUCAAGUCCGACAUUGAGAGAACUGCUCGAAAGAUUGAGAGCCCUAAAGGUGAAUUUGCGAGGAGAGGAGCCAAUGCAGAGUCCGUAUGUAUCCAAAAAACAAAGCCCCGGUGGACCCGACCCACAACAUCAUUAAUUUCGAGUGUUGGAAUAUUUAGAUAAUAAAUCGUGCCAUCAUGUAACAGAUUCAGCUUUUAGAAUAAUUGGUAGUGAUCUCACGAGAUCUUACAUGGUAUCAAAGCUACGAGGUUCUAAAUUCACAUCUUCCAUGCACCUAUUUAUCUUCCCAAUUGAAUAUUGUUGGUAAUGAAAUCGUACUCUAUUGAUGUAAUGAAGUUCUUGAUGAAUUGUACUCUCUCUCUCUCGAUGUAACCACAUGAAAUCUCAC
rnacentral:lncRNA from 1 species